UCUUUCUCCAUUAAAAUUAAUUUAUAUCUUCAAAUCACAAACCAACGUUGAUAGGCUACUCGUUAUCUCUAUUUCGAUUUUGUUAUAGGUUUUGAUAUGGUCAUGCCCAGAUUUGUUCGUCCCAAAGAAGGAGAUAGCGAGUCAAGCCCAGACCUUUAUGUGGCAAACUGUGGCCCUGCGGUGGGACUUCAAUUUGACACCAUCGCAUCUGCGUUUAGCUCCUUUGGGGAGGUCAAAGGUGUGUACGCAGCUGAUGAAAGUGGUGCUCGUGUUAUUGUCUCUUUUCUUGAACCAGCCUCUGCUCACUCUGCUUUCAUUGCCUUGAAUGACCGCCCUUGCCCUCACCUUGGAGGCCGCUCUUUACACAUCCGUCAUUCCAUUUUGCAACCACCGUCUUCCAGGGGAAUGGCGUCUGUUCCAGUCUCGCUAAACGCUUCGGAUUUAAAUAUUCCAGGACUCUAUUUGUUCCAUGACUUCAUCAGUGCUGUGGAAGAGGAGCAAUUGCUUCAAGCAGUUGAUACUGGAUCUUGGAUUAGUCUUUCCAAACGGAGGGUUCAGCACUAUGGAUAUAAAUUUUGUUAUGAUACUAGGAAUGUUGAUACAAAGCAGCAUUUGGGUGCACUUCCAUCAUUUGUUUCCUUUAUACUCGAGCGGAUUUCAUUAUCUCCAGACAUUCCUGAAAAACUGGAUUUGGACCAAUUGACGGUUAAUGAAUACCCACCUGGGGUGGGCUUGUCCCCGCACAUAGACACUCACUCAGCAUUUGAAGGGUUAAUUUUCAGCCUUUCACUAGCAGGGCCUUGCAUUAUGGAGUUCAGAAGAUACACAGCAGGUUCAUGGGCUCCUAAAACUGCCUCUAUAAGUGACACGGAAGUUGAAAAUCCUAAUAGUUGCUCGGAGGUUUCUAGGAAGGCUAUCUAUCUUCCUCCUCGGUCAAUGCUUCUUCUAUCUGGGGAGGCACGAUGCGCUUGGCAUCAUUAUAUUCCACAUCAUAAGCUCUAUGUUCAGGUUUUAAAUGUAUAUGGCUGCAUUGCAAAGGCAUGAACCUUAUGAAGGGAAGCACAUCAUUAUCCUUUUGACAGAUAUACAGGCAGAAUUUUGAGAGGCUUGUGGUGUGAUUUGGAGAGAAACUUAAGGGGAAUCUUGAAAUCACUAACAUUCCUUCUUGCUGCUGCUUGAGUUGAGAUUUUCAUGCCAAUUAUGAGGUUUUAUUCUUUUACGUCUUUUGAAGAAAAUAAUACCUUGGUGAUCAGGUCAUAAGAAAGUACCGUAAUUUCUGUGACUGUUAAAUAUUUUAUAACUUGGUGAGUAAGGUAUCUUUGGAUGGCAUAUCAGCUUUCCAAGGAUUGCAUUCAAACAUUUUUGUAUUGUUAUCAUCAUCUGUGAAUGUUAAAAGGUCCAUUAAUGCACAAUUUGCAGAUUGACAAGGUGAAUGAAACAAUGAUCAGAAGGGGUUCGAGAAGAGUAUCUUUCACAUUUCGUAAGGUGAGAAGAGGACCUUGCCAAUGCGAAUUUCCCCAAUACUGUGACUCUCAAUCCCAAACAUAGGGAGGAGGCUUUUGUUGUGCUACAUAACAAUGUUGAUGUUGAAUGGGAGCACAGUUGAUGUUGAAUGGGUGUUGUGCUCGGAGGGAAAAUUUUGCAUUGCAAAACCAAGGAAUUGUACCAUUAAAGUAGAAACUUCUGAUUUAAGGCACAUGCAUGGUCAAUGGAUGAUCAAACCUUGAUGAGUGUUAUGAAAUACAAUGUUUUUUUCUCUCCCA